CUAAAACACACACUACACACGCCAUUUUCCAUUUAAGCUUGGACGGAGCUUUUGACCUCCGAUUUGAGCACCGAGACGAGCGCCGAUCAUCUUUUCGAUCACGUAUCUAAGUAGGUCCUUUUGGGAAGUAACGACUUGAGGGAGAGAGUGACGUUACUCAUUGAUACAGAGACACAACGAGGUUGAGCUGAUGUGAUGAUGGUGCUGCAAUGAGCGGAGUCUCCAGGGUUGUUAAUAAAUAGUUAACCUGUCUAGAAUAUGUCUUCAUACAUAUGUCUAGCUACUUUCCGCUGCAAGAUGUUGUUGAUGUUAUAGUAUGUUAUGUCAUACUUUGAGUCUUAAGAGAAUGGUUUCAUACGAUGUAUAACUUGAUUAAUGAUAUUAAUUAAGUUUUAUGCUGUCUUUCAUAGACUAUUUUCAAUUGAGUAUUAAUGAAUAAAAAUGACGAGUUUUAUUAA